AACGCACCUUGCGCUCCUUGGUAUUCCGAGGAGCAUGCCUGUUUGAGUGUCAUUAAAUCCUCAACCCUCCCUUGCGGGUGUGGCUUGGACUUGGAGCGUGCUGGCGAAGGUCGGCUCCUCUUUAAAUGCAUCAGCGGAAAGCUUUUCUGGCCGUUCGGCGUGAUAACACUGUUGCGCCGUGGAAGCCUCUGUAAAGGCCUCGCUUACAAUCGUCUUCGGACAAAACGACAUCUCAGUCAAAUCCACUUUGACCUCAAAUCAGGUAGGACUACCCGCUGAACUUAA
rnacentral:misc_RNA from 1 species